AAAUUGAAUUUAUUAAGGAUGAAAUAGUAUUUAUGAAUAUAUUUAUGAUACUUAAAGUGGCUUACAAAUUUUGCGAAAAACCAAAGGCAGAUCAAUACCCGACCGGGCGGACCAGCAACCAUGGGCCGUUUAGGCUUAUUGAACACCUGAGUCGUGUGUCAACAGUGUCCGGCCACCGUUCAAAUCGAUUAUUGGACUAUUCAAUCCCAAACUAAAACAAUUGCGAUUCGAGCUCGAGUAUAUAACAGCUCGAGCUUUACUCGACUCGACAAAAUGCAUACCCUAGAACACGAGGGACGCACUUAUUUUGAGGGCCAAGAUCAAUACUAGUGUUUUCCUCAACGGUAGAAGAAAGCAAAAGUUGAUUGGCGGAUUAUGAGGCCAGGAGGGAGAUGAACUUGACCACGGCAUCGACGGCGUUCUGAGCAGCAAGGGAGGCGAAAGUGGUGGCCUCAUUGGAGAGCGAGGAGCCGCCGCCGGCCAAGUCGGAGAGAGACCUGAAGGCGAU
rnacentral:lncRNA from 1 species